rnacentral:tRNA from 1 species
UCCUCGUUAGUAUAGUGGUGAGUAUCCCCGCCUGUCACGCAGGAGACCGGGGUUCGAUUCCCCGACGGGGAA